CUGGGCUUAUUCUUUAGUGUGGAUUCUUUCUUCUGCAUUUCCAUCUGGUGUCAUUUUCCUUCUGCCUGAAGGACUUCCUUUAACAUUCCUCGUAAUGAGGGUCGACUGAUGAGAUUCCAGAGAGCUGUCUCUCUCCCUGAAUGCCCAGAAAGAGCUCAUAUGAACAUGCACCAAGAUGGGAGCUGCCUACAAGUCAAGAAAACAGAAGAGGCCUCCAAAUGGAACUGGCUAUGCUGCCACCUUGAUCUUGGACCUACAGCCUCAAGAACUC
rnacentral:lncRNA from 1 species